ACCGAGCGCGUCUACGACGACGACUUCUUCGAGGGGCUGGACGGCGUCGCCAACGCGCUGGACAACGUGGAUGCUCGGCUGUACAUGGACCGGCGCUGCGUUUAUUACCGGAAGCCGCUGCUGGAGUCGGGCACGCUGGGCACCAAGGGCAACGUGCAGGUGGUGAUCCCGUUCCUGAGCGAGUCCUACAGCUCCAGCCAGGACCCCCCCGAGAAGGCCAUUCCCAUCUGCACCCUCAAGAACUUCCCCAACGCCAUCGAGCACACGCUGCAGUGGGCGCGUGACGAGUUCGAGGGGCUCU